AGCCCAGAGUCUGAAUCAGCGCGUGUGUUAGUGGAACGGUCUGGAAAGUCCGGCGGUACAGGGUGAUAGCCCCGUACACUAAAAUGCACACGUUGUGAACUCGAAGAGUAGGGCGGGACACGUGGUAUCCUGUCUGAAUAUGGGGGGACCAUCCUCCAAGGCUAAAUACUCCUGACUGACCGAUAGUGAACCAGUACCGUGAGGGAAAGGCGAAAAGAACCCCGGCGAGGGGAGUGAAAAAGAACCUGAAACCGUGUACGUACAAGCAGUGGGAGCCUACUUGUUAGGUGACUGCGUACCUUUUGUAUAAUGGGUCAGCGACUUAUAUUCUGUAGCAAGGUUAACCGUAUAGGGGAGCCGCAGGGAAACCGAGUCUUAACUGGGCGUUAAGUUGCAGGGUAUAGACCCGAAACCCGGUGAUCUAGCCAUGGGCAGGUUGAAGGUUGGGUAACACUAACUGGAGGACCGAACCGACUAAUGUUGAAAAAUUAGCGGAUGACUUGUGGCUGGGGGUGAAAGGCCAAUCAAACCGGGAGAUAGCUGGUUCUCCCCGAAAGCUAUUUAGGUAGCGCCUCGUGAACUCAUCUUCGGGGGUAGAGCACUGUUUCGGCUAGGGGGUCAUCCCGACUUACCAACCCGAUGCAAACUACGAAUACCGAAGAAUGUUAUCACGGGAGACACACGGCGGGUGCUAACGUCCGUCGUGAAGAGGGAAACAACCCAGACCGCCAGCUAAGGUCCCAAAGUCAUGGUUAAGUGGGAAACGAUGUGGGAAGGCACAGACAGCCAGGAUGUUGGCUUAGAAGCAGCCAUCAUUUAAAGAAAGCGUAAUAGCUCACUGGUCGAGUCGGCCUGCGCGGAAGAUGUAACGGGGCUAAACCAUGCACCGAAGCUGCGGCAGCGACACUAUGUGUUGUUGGGUAGGGGAGCGUUCUGUAAGCCGUUGAAGGUGGCCUGUGAGGGUUGCUGGAGGUAUCAGAAGUGCGAAUGCUGACAUAAGUAACGAUAAAGCGGGUGAAAAGCCCGCUCGCCGGAAGACCAAGGGUUCCUGUCCAACGUUAAUCGGGGCAGGGUGAGUCGACCCCUAAGGCGAGGCCGAAAGGCGUAGUCGAUGGGAAACAGGUUAAUAUUCCUGUACUCGGUGUUACUGCGAAGGGGGGACGGAGAAGGCUAUGUUAGCCGGGCGACGGUUGUCCCGGUUUAAGCAUGUAGGCGG
rnacentral:rRNA from 1 species